rnacentral:rRNA from 1 species
UUAACGAAAUCAUAUUAAGUACCGCCUGCUCCAUGUAAAAAAAUAGCCGCAGAAUAUCCACUGUGCUAAGGUAGCAUAAUCAUUAGCCUCCUAAUUUGAGACUAGAAUGAAAGGCUUAACAAUUAAACAACUUUUUUUAAUAAAAAUUCUAAACUAUAAUAAAUAUAAAAAUAUACUUAUUAAUAUAAAAGACGACAAGACCCUAUCGAACUUAACUGAAGUUAAGCUGGGGAAGCUCACCAACAAUAAUUUUAUUACAAGUAAUUUAUUAUACACCCAAUAUAAUUGAAUAAUUAUCAAGUUACCGUAGGGAUAACAGCGUAAUACUUCUCAAAAGCUCCUAUUUAAAGAAAAGUUUACGACCUCGAUGUUGAAUUAAUUUUACUUAUUUACGCAAUAGUUAAAAAAGUAGGUCUGUUCGACCAUUAAAAAAUUACAU